UACGUAGGUGGCAAGCGUUGUCCGGAUUUAUUGGGCUUAAAGGGUGCGUAGGCGGCUUUGUAAGUCAGUGGUGAAAUACGGUAGCUUAACUAUCGAGGUGCCAUUGAUACUGCAGAGCUUGAGUACAGAUGAGGUAGGCGGAAUUGACGGUGUAGCGGUGAAAUGCUUAGAUAUCGUCAAGAACACCUAUAGCGAAGGCAGCUUACUAGGCUGUAACUGACGCUGAGGCACGAAAGUGUGGGGAGCAAACAGG
rnacentral:rRNA from 1 species